GCCCUUGUCGGAGGAUGAAUCCACCUCGUAUCUUCUUGCUGGUUUAGAAUCAGACUUUGAUCCUUUUGUGACUUCUGUCACCACACGCCUCGACCCAAUGAGCGUAGAAGAGCUAUAUAAUCAUCUCCUUACUCAUGAGA